rnacentral:rRNA from 1 species
UGGGGAAUAUUGGACAAUGGGCGCAAGCCUGAUCCAGCAAUGCCGCGUGUGUGAAGAAGGCCUGCGGGUUGUAAAGCACUUUCAGUAGAGAAGAAAAGCCUAGGGUUAAUACCCCUGAGUCUUGACGUUACCUACAGAAGAAGCACCGGCUAACUCCGUGCCAGCAGCCGCGGUAAUACGGAGGGUGCGAGCGUUAAUCGGAAUUACUGGGCGUAAAGCGCGCGUAGGCGGCUUUGUAAGUCGGAUGUGAAAGCCCUGGGCUCAACCUGGGAAUUGCAUUCGAUACUGCAGAGCUAGAGUAUGGUAGAGGGAAGUGGAAUUUCCAGUGUAGCGGUGAAAUGCGUAGAUAUUGGGAAGAACACCAGUGGCGAAGGCGCUCUACUGGGCCGCAACUGACACUGAGGGACGAAAGCUAGGGGAGCGAAUGGGAUUAGAUACCCCCGUAGUCC